AGAGCGAACGCUGGCGGCAGGCCUAACACAUGCAAGUCGAACGGACCCUUCGGGGUUAGUGGCGGACGGGUGAGUAACACGUGGGAACGUGCCUUUUGGUUCGGAAUAGCUCCUGGAAACGGGUGGUAAUGCCGAAUGUGCCCUUCGGGGGAAAGAUUUAUCGCCAUUAGAGCGGCCCGCGUCUGAUUAGCUAGUUGGUAAGGUAAUGGCUUACCAAGGCGACGAUCAGUAGCUGGUCUGAGAGGAUGACCAGCCACAUUGGGACUGAGACACGGCCCAAACUCCUACGGGAGGCAGCAGUGGGGAAUCUUGCGCAAUGGGCGAAAGCCUGACGCAGCCAUGCCGCGUGAAUGAUGAAGGUCUUAGGAUUGUAAAAUUCUUUCGACCGGGACGAUAAUGACGGUACCCGGAGAAGAAGCCCGCUAACUCGUGCCAGCAGCCGC
rnacentral:rRNA from 1 species